UUGGAACUGGGCGUCAUAGAGGGUGAUAACCCCGUUUUCAGACCAAUCCAUCCGUCCAUGUGAAGCCCUUUCGACGAGUCGAGUUGUUUGGGAAUGCAGCUCAAAAUGGGUGGUAGACUUCAUCUAAAGCUAAAUAUCAGCCAGAGACCGAUAGCGCACAAGUAGAGUGAUCGAAAGAUGAAAAGCACUUUGAAAAGAGAGUGAAACAGCACGUGAAAUUGUUGAAAGGGAAGCGCUAGCAACCAGACUUGUUUGCAGUGUUCAGCCUACCGAAAGGUCGGUGUACUCGCUGCUUGCAGGCCAGCAUCGGUUUCGACGGUUGGACAAAAACUCAUGGCAAGUAGCUUGUCUCGGCAAGUGUUAUAGCCCGAGUAUCAUGCAACCAGUUGAGACCGAGGAAUGCGCUUUGCGAGGAUGUUGGCAUAAUGGUUGUUAGCGACCCGUCUUGAAACACGGACCAAGGAGUCGACCAAUCAAGCGAGCGUUAGGGUGUAAAACCCACAGCGCGUAAUGAAAGUAAACGUAGGUGGGAAGCCGUAUGGCAGCACCAUCGACCGAUCCAAGUUCGCGAGGAUUUGAGUAUGAGUUUUAUUGGUCGGACCCGAAAGAAGGUGAACUAUUCCCGGAUAGGUUGAAGUCAGGUGAAAACCUGAUGGAAGACCGCAGCGGUUCUGACGUGCAAAUCGAUCGUCAAAUCUAGGAAUAGGGGCGAAAGACUAAUCGAACCUUCUAGUAGCUGGUUCCUGUCGAAGUUUCCCUCAGGAUAGCAGUGACGAAUAACAGUCUCAUGAGGUAGAGCAACGAUUAGAGGCCUUGGGGUUGAAACAACCUUAACCUAUUCUCGAACUCCGAAUAUGUGAGAAGUCCUUGUUACUUAAUUGAACGUGGACAUUGGAUG
rnacentral:rRNA from 1 species